GACGAACGCUGGCGGCGUGCUUAACACAUGCAAGUCGAACGGAAAGGCCCUGCUUUUGUGGGGUGCUCGAGUGGCGAACGGGUGAGUAACACGUGAGUAACCUGCCCAUGACUUUGGGAUAACUUCAGGAAACUGGGGCUAAUACCGGAUAGGGGCUCCUGCUGCAUGGUGGGGGUUGGAAAGUUUCGGCGGUUGGGGAUGGACUCGCGGCUUAUCAGCUUGUUGGUGGGGUAGUGGCUUACCAAGGCUUUGACGGGUAGCCGGCCUGAGAGGGUGACCGGCCACAUUGGGACUGAGAUACGGCCCAGACUCCUACGGGAGGCAGCAGUGGGGAAUAUUGCACAAUGGGCGGAAGCCUGAUGCAGCAACGCCGCGUGCGGGAUGACGGCCUUCGGGUUGUAAACCGCUUUCGCCUGUGACGAAGCGUGAGUGACGGUAAUGGGUAAAGAAGCACCGGCUAACUACGUG
rnacentral:rRNA from 1 species